rnacentral:lncRNA from 1 species
UCCAUCAUCAUGCACACACGGACUUAUUUAACAAGCACGACGACUACGCUGACGACGGAAGCUUCAUCAUCAUCAGUAGUGGCAGGCGUAGUUGGCCUUCUUGAACAUGGCGGCCUGCGCGGCGGCGGCGACCUCGGAGGUCAGCGCGACAGCGAUGCAGUCCUUGACCUGCUGCGUGGAGUAGGCGUACUUCUUGGCGGCGAUGGAGUUGAGGUACGCGGCGGCGCCCUCGCGGAGGAGGUCGCCGUAGCAGUCGGUGCGGGUGUUGCACAGCGCGUCCUGCAGCGUCUGCAGCUUGCUCCCGAAGAAGGCGCUGCACACGUCGCCGAAGGAGCCCAGGAUGCUCCCCAGCGACCCGAUGCACGAGAUGAUCGCGUCCGGGUGGCUCUUCCAGUAGCUGCAUGCAAAUAAUCUUUUAGUAACCGGCCGGGAAAUGUCUCGAUGCAUAUGCACUGCGGCUUAUAUUGCGUGCGGGUCUUAGCUUGCUUCUUACUCGCAGGUUCCGGUGCCGGAGUAGCCGGGCGUGUAGCCGCCACCGCCGCCUCCAUACCCACCGCCACCGCCACCGCCGCCGCCGCCGCCACCGUACCCACCGCCACCGCCUCCCCCGCCGUACCCGCCGCCGCCUCCUCCGUACCCACCGCCACCGUCUGUUCGGACGAGAAUGAUAGACACAGCAUGGCACAUGAUCAGCUCAUCAGCAGAUAACAAAUACGUGCACACGUUUGCUAGACUAAUAAUGUAGGCAGGUUACGGUACACAGCACGUACACUUCUGCUCAGCGACGUGAUUUCCCUGCAGGCCCCUGCUGGCAGAGCACCGAGAGGCGACGCCCACCAGGAGCACGGCGACAAGGAGAGCCUUGCCGCUCAUCUUGCUCUCUCUCUCUCUUCCUCUCUCCCCUCUUCUCCUGUGUUUCUGA